UCGGACUGUGUACUCGAAGAAGUAGGUCAAAACAAAAACAUGUAGAUAACAAUUGUUUUAUAACUAUCCUGCGUAUCCAGACUAACAAUAUGAGGCCAGACAUGAAUGAAAGGAACCCUAUUAUGGAUGACACAGAUGAUAUGGAAGAUGACCCAAAUGAUGGCCAAACAGAAACAUACAGUUAUGAAGAUGCUUUAAAAUUGACUGGUUAUGGCAAGUUUCACAUGCUUGUGCUAGCACUGAGUGGCUGGGCAGUGUCCAGUGAUGCAGUCGAGGUACUUGCAAUAUCCUUUGUACUGCCCUCAGCUGAAUGUGAUCUCCGCAUGUCCAGCUCUGACAAAGGAUUACUGAAUGCCCUCCUCUUUGUUGGUAUGAUGAUUGGAGGGUUUUGCUGGGGUACUCUUGCUGACAUUAAGGGAAGACGUGGCAUUGUGAUAUGGUCACUCGCAGUCAAUGGAUUAGCUGGCCUGGGCUCUGCCUUUGCUCAAUCAUACUGGCUUUUCCUUCUACUACGCUUUAUCAGUGGCAUUGGUGUUGGAGGCAGUAUACCAGUGGUGUUUAGUUACUUCUCAGAGUGGCAGUGUAAGGAGAGGAGAGGUAGCAUGAUCAGUCUUCUUUCAACAUUCUGGAUGUGUGGCAAUGUGCUUACUGCAGCCAUAGCAUGGGCAGUCAUCCCACACCCAAAUCUUGGAUACUUCAGCUCUACUUUCACUUUCAACAGUUGGAGGAUCUUUGUAGUCCUAGCUACAUUCCCUGCCCUUACAGCAUCCUUGUUAUAUAUAUUUAUGCCUGAAAGUCCAAAAUUUCUACUCAUGCAAGGAAACGAUAAAGCAGCUCUUGCCAUCCUGGCUAAUGUCUACCAGCGCAACAAGGGAACACAGAAUCAGUAUCCAGUAGAGAGGCUAGAAAGAUUCAUGUAUGAGGAUGAGUCUGAGGCAAAGUACACAUUGUUAAAGAUGAGGGGCAACUCAUGUAUGCAGAUGUUCAGGAGAAUGCAGCAUACAGUUAUCAAGAUAUUUCAAACAGCCAUCACUAUGUUCAAGCAGCCAUACACACGUAGCUCACUUAUUAUGUGGUUCAUUAACUUCAGUAUAUGCUUUGGGUACUAUGGAUUGUUUCUAUGGUUACCAGAGCUGUUUAAGAGAUUAGAGCUUGGUGAGGGAUCUGUUUGCUACACUCCAAGUGCUAACACAACCUCGCAUAAUUCAAACUCUACAUGUACAGAUGCAGGACUUGACACAAAUAUAUAUUCAGAGAGUAUGCUGACUGCCUUGGCAAACCUACCUGGUAACAUACUCACUAUUUUCCUCAUGGACAAAAUAGGCAGGAAAAUAUUAUUGACAUCUAGUAUGAUCAUCUCAGGUGUUAGCGUCUUCUUCAUCUACCUCGUCCACAACAAAGUUGAAAGUCUUGUGAUGUCAUGUGUCUUUAGUGGUUUCUCAACUAUAGGCUUUAAUGCCAUCAAUGUAGUUCAGGUGGAGCUCUAUCCAACACAGUUAAGGUCCACUGCAUAUGGCAUACUAACUGGAACAUGUAGAAUUGGUGCAAUAGUUGGGAAUCUUAUAUUUGGACAGUUAGUAGAUGUAAAUUGUGCUGUCCCUAUGUUGAUGGUGGCUGGUCUGCUGUCUUCAGGAGGCUUAAUGGCUAUAAAAUUGCCUAAUAAGACACAACAAGAUAUCAACUGAAAUAUAUUUUGCUCAAAAUAAAACAUAUGAUUAUGUGAAUUAUGUGAACAAACACUGAAUAUUUUGUUCAUAUUUAAUAUAUGGAUACUCAUAAGAAUGGCUAGUAGCAUUUUAAUAUUUUUAUCCCAACAAAAGUUCUGUAGGGAUAUUGUGAAGCCAUUCAUCUGUCCCUCAGUUUGGAAAAUAACUUCAAUACUAGAAAUCUAGUAGCUCUAUUAUACUCAAAUCAAAGGCAAUUUAGAGUAGAUUUCAAAUAUUGUAUCAUUUUUCUGAUUCGGACAGGAUAACUAAACCACAACGUACAAAAUUUCCCAAAACACGACUCAUAUAUUUACCAUGAUAGUCCAUUAAUAGCAGUAGUAAAGUCUAUUUAUGUCUCACACACUAAAAUAUAUAGUAACUGUAUGAGAGGGUUGUCCCAGAAGUAAUGCACUAUAUGCUCUAACUUUAUCAAUAAUU
rnacentral:misc_RNA from 1 species